rnacentral:rRNA from 1 species
AUUGAACGCUGGCGGCAUGCUUUACACAUGCAAGUCGAACGGUAACAGGGAGCUUGCUCCGCUGACGAGUGGCGAACGGGUGAGUAAUGCGUCGGAACGUGCCGAGUAGUGGGGGAUAACGCAUCGAAAGGUGUGCUAAUACCGCAUACGUACUGAGGUAGAAAGUGGGGGACCUUCGGGCCUCACGCUAUUCGAGCGGCCGACGUCUGAUUAGCUAGUUGGUGAGGUAAAGGCUCAUCAAGGCGACGAUCAGUAGCGAGUCUGAGAGGAUGAUCCGCCACACUGGGACUGAGACACGGCCCAGACUCCUACGGGAGGCAGCAGUGGGGAAUUUUGGACAAUGGGCGCAAGCCUGAUCCAGUCAUGCCGCGUGUCUGAAGAAGGCCUUCGGGUUGUAAAGGACUUUUGUCCGGGAGCAAAUGCUGGUGGCUAACAUCCACCGGAGCUGAGAGUACCGGAAGAAUAAGCACCGGCUAACUACGUGCCAGCCGCCGCGGUAACAC